ACCGGCAAAGCAGUCUGUACCCCGGUGAGGUGCUCACACAGUGAAUACUAAGCAGCAGUUGGAAUUGGUGAGUUAUAUUUACAAACGGCAACAGGGAGGGAGCCAUCUCCAAAACAUGAUGUGGAGUGAAAAAGAGCUUGAGAAGGCAGCCUCCAAAUCCUGAGCCUGCAGAAUCUGAGAGGCUCGUCAGGGAAUAAGGAACUGUCUGAUGUUUCCAGGCAGCACUAACUUCUUCUCUGUACCUGUGAUACAUAUGCAGCAGAAACGAAAUGGUGAUGCUGCUGUUGUAAUAGCCGUCUUGGGACUCUGAGGCCCCAAAGCUGGGAUGGCAAGUCACUAUGAUGAGGAUAGCAGGGGUGAAGUACCUUGGUCCUUGAUGACAUCGCGAAUCCUCAAUCAGCCAGAUGAACCAAUAUCCUUUGGACUUCUUGUUAAAUAAAUGAUAUCCUUACAUUCGAACCCACCAGUAGCCCAUUUUUCUUCUCCUUGUAGCCAAAUGAAUCUGUGGAUU